AUACUUACUGGACGGGGUUAAAGGGCAAUCAAGAAGGCCCAUGGCCUAGGCCGGUGACCUCCAUUGCACUUUGGAGUCCGCCUAAGAUCGGCCCAAUUGAGCCUACGUCAUAAUUAGUGGUAGAGGGCGCCGUAAAAAAAAAUCCCUA
rnacentral:snRNA from 1 species